GUUCUGGUAGCCUAAGCUUAAGGCAUUGGUCUUGUAAACCAAAGAUUGAGGGUGAAAUUCCCUCCCAAAACA
rnacentral:tRNA from 1 species